GGUUCUCUUUAUUUUCUUUGUCAUGCGUUAAACAACAAUUACUAUCCACGCUUCUAGACUAUUCAAAAGUUUCUCAUCGAGGUAACCGAGUCAGCGUCAUUUAUUUCGUUUCGAUUUUUAUUUACGGGCAUUUUUAUUAGCUAGAUAUCAAAUUUCGAUUGACAAUUUGAUCUUUUAAUAAUUGAAUUCUGCAAGCAUGUCAGAAAAAUAUAAAGGUUUUGCUGGAAUCCUUAUUGAUAAAAAGGAUAAAGCUAUAGUCCCCGUCAAGAAUUUAAAACAUUUUAACCCACAAAAUUUUAAUCCGAGAAAAAUGUAUAAUCUUAAUUACGAUGGUCGGAUGAAGCAAUGCAUUAUUUUAGGGAUUAAAGAAUCAAAAUCAGCAGUAGAAAAAGAAAUUUUUUUCAGGAGAGUUUCAGCUCCGCCUAAUAACCUAGUUGAAAGCGCUUCAGAAAUAAGUGAUUAUAACUACAAUAACAAGCCAAUAAACAAUAAAAAAGGAUUUUCAAAUAAAAGUAACAAAGAAAAUGGAAAAGAAAUGAAAGAAAACAAAGGUUUAAUUAAUUAAAUUUCAGAAUUGAGAAAAGCAUCUACUAAACGACGAGCAACCGAUGAUAACGAUAACGAAAUACCGUUUAAAUCAAAAAUAAAAGAAGUCCAAAAUACUUCGGCACCACUAACACCCCAAUGUCCACUUGAUAUUUCUUCGGCUAAAAAAACACUAAGUACCCAAUCUUUAACUGGAUCUAACACAGUGUUGAAAACUAUUGGUUCAUCACUUGAAAUUUUGUCACCUAAGAAGAAACCUCGAAUCGUAACUAAUAAUGUGUUAAAAACUUCUGGCUUGGUGAGUAGCAAAUUUUUUUAUAACUUUUGUAAAUUAAGGUUUUACAAAUAAAAUCUUUUUCAGGGCUUGUAUCUAAAUCUAUAAUAUUUUGAUUUUGCUAAAUAAAUCAUAAUGAUGUAAAUUCAACAUCAAUUCAUGUACAAUUCAAUUCAUAUAAUAUUAUUCUAUUCAAAUUUUUAUCUUUUAUUCUUUCCAUUUAAAGUAAAUGUAACGUCAUAGUUGAAUAGCUUCCAAGAUAAUCAUUAAGCUGGUUUUUAUUUGUAAGACAUCUCAUGGUCUACUAAUAAAGAAAAAAAAAGUAUGAAUAUAAAAAAAUUAUACUUACAUUUUAUUAAAAACGUAUGUUUACCAGGGUGUCCCAAAAAUAACAAAUAUUUUUUUUAACCUCUUAUAGGCUCAAAAGUUACUUGAUAUUAUAAAAAAAAUCCUCACUAAAUUUCAGCCAGAUAUCUUUAAAAUUGAGCUAUCACAAAGGGGGGUCCCCUUUCUCAUUUAAAAUACACGCGAAAGUUUUUCAUUUUACUUUUUUCGUUAUUAAGACUACGAAAAAAAUUUUUUUUUUUUAAUUUCACCUAGUGUAAUUUCGUAGGAAAUUAAAUUCUCUACAAAAAAGUGCUAGUGUAUGAUAUACGACAGGGAAAAAGUUACGGGGCUUCAAAGAUCAACAAAAAUUUAGUUUCCUCAGUGUUAAAUUUUUUUAAAUUAUUUUUCAUUUUUAUCCUAUGAAAAAAUUUAUUUUUCAAAUUUUGAUAGGCACUCUUUUGUAGAGAAUUUAAUUUCCUACGAAAUUACACUAGGUGGAAUAAAAAAAAAAUUUUUUUUCGCAGUCUUAAUAACGAUAAGGUAAAAUGAAAAAUUUUCGCGUGUAUUUUAAAUGGGAAGGGGACCCCACUUUGUGAUAACUCAAUUUUAAAGAUAUCUGGAUGAAAUUUAGUGAGGAUUUUUUUUAUAAUAUCAAGUAACUUUUGAGCCCAUAAGAGGUAAAAAAAAAAAUAUUUAUUUUUUUUGGGACAGUCUAAUGUUUACAGUACAGAAAUUACAGAUUUAUUCAACGCUGAGUAACAAACAAGUAAGAACUUUUUAUUCACAGGAUGUAAUGAGUGCACAAACGGUAGAUAUAUAUUAUUAUAUGCUAAAUAUAAAAAAAAAUUCUUUGUUUUCUAAUGGUGUACAAAAGGCUUUUUCCAUAACAUUCAUAAUAUAUACUUAAGAUCACCUGUUGGCUUAUGUGAGAAAUUUUACAUUUUAUCUCACAUCAUUUCGAACAAUCAAAACCUUCGCAUAUUUCAGCAUGGCUUUAGAUGCGCAUAUUGUUUUUAUGUAGCUAUUGAACCUAUCGAUCUCUUUUAUUCAUGUAAAAUCAAAUAUUUUCAAUUUUUUCUUCAAGGGCCAGUUUUUCAAUCUGGAUUUAUUUUUAUCAGGGUUCAAAUUAAUAUUGCUAGUACAUUUAUACAUCAAUAAUAUAUAGAUAUACUAGGAAUGAUAAUUUGUACCUGCAUUAAAAAUAAACCCAGUUUGAAAAACUAGCCCUAAACUUUUUUGAUACUUGAUAUUAUUUUAUUGACCUUUCUUCAAAUGAUUUAUUAUAAGAAAUAUGAUUUUUACUGAUUCAUUUAAUGAUGUCUAGUUAUCGUCAGAAGGAGAAAAAAAUGAGCAGCUGUCGAGAAGAAUAUUAAUUUAUUAAAACAUGAAUUAAAAAGAAGUAAUGAAAAAAUUGAAACCAAGGAUAAUGAGAUUAAUAAAAAAAAUAACGUGAUUGUAAAACUUAUGUCUAUAAAUGAAAAAUUACAACUUCAAGUUAUUGACCAGACUACCCUGCUUAAAAAAUCUCAUAAGAUCCGAUAGCUUCUUAUAAAUUCUCAUAGGAAUUUUAUGAGAAUCAAUGAGUUCUAUGGGAAGCGGGAGUCCUCUUCUCAUAGAACUUACUGAAUUUUAUGAGAUUGUAUAGGAGGUAUUUAAAAAAAUUAUUUUCUCCUAGAUUCUGAUAAGGGAUUCUUUAUAAGAAUCUAUCGGAAAAUACAAAUGUUUAUAAAAAAUGAGUUUUUAUAAGGUUGGAUGGGAUAAAAUAUUCACGGCAUUUAUAGGGAUCUAUAAGAAAAUAAUAAAAUUUACAAAAUUUCUGUUUUAAUAAGAACGCAUGAGAAAAUGAUCCUGUCAUUAAUAAUUGAAUUUUAUGAGGAAAUAAUAAAAUUCAUCAUAUUCCCGUUUGUAUGUUCAAUGACUUGUUGUCUCAUGUAAGUUACGGUAUUUACGCAUAUAAACAUAUUAGUCUAGUCAACAAGUGCCUUUUUGACGAAAAUCUGUCCUAGACCACCGAAAAUUAUGAUUAAAGUCUGAUUUGAUUCGAAAUGGCAUCUAUAAAAAAAAAAAAUUAAAGUGGAAAUUUGGGCCUGGCAAAAAUUGUAAGUUAUUAACAAUUUAGUAAAAAAAAAAAAAAAAAAAAAAGUGGUUUGGUUUUUUACAAAUAGUUCAACAACUAUUUGAGGUAUCCAAAAUCUGUAAAAAGAUCCUCAAAGAGCAGGAAAUUUCCAAAAAAAGUCCUGACUCCCCGAACUGUACCAACAAUAUUUAUAAUUUUAAUUUAGCGGUGAAAAUGGGACUAAAAACGGGUAGCAGCGCAUGCACGCGCGUUAAUAGAAUCAAUAACAUAAUCGAAAAAAAUUAUUUUAACCGAUUAAAUAUAAAUAUUAAGAAAUAAAAAAAAUUUGGUUCUUUCUCCACACAUGGAUUAAUAAUAAUCCACCGAAAAAAAAAUUUUACCUCAAUUUUUCAAUUAACUAUGCUUUUGUUAUUUAGUUCAUUUUUACUCGCUCAAAGUUUAUAUAAAAACCCUGAUUAUUUCUAAACUAAGAAUCCAGGAUUUUGUUCACUUCAUAGAGCUGUUCUUGAAAGGGUUUAGAAAAAAUCGUCGUUGGAAAAAUUAAAAAAUUUCGAUUUUUCACUUUUUUAUUUACGAUCUAAGGAAUUGAAAAAUUAAAAAUGUAAAUAAAGCAAUCAAGGAAUUUUAUUUUUUUGAUUAUUUUGUUUUUUUAUUGCUAAAAGCUACUUAACAAUAAUUUUAAA